rnacentral:sRNA from 1 species
UCCAUUAUUCCAUUAAAAAAGGGUGGGA